rnacentral:misc_RNA from 1 species
UUUCCGUAGGUGAACCUGCGGAAGGAUCAUUACCGAAAAAAAACCCUAUUACCGGAGAAAGUGUGUGUGCCGAGACUUGUUUUCAGCGCGCCCUUUCUUUGAUAAUAUACACCCCUUGUGUGAAACAACCGUUUUCUAUGUGCCGAUAUGUCCAGUAGGCAUAUAUUUAUAUAUGCCUACGGGAUCGUCGCACAUGAUCAACGCCAUUUAAAAAACAACCACCAAAACCUUCUGGACUAAAACUAGCUUCUGUUAUAUUAAAAAAAAACAACUUUUAACAACGGAUCUCUAGGCUCUC